GGUACUGUAGCCAAGUGGUUACGGCGUCACGUUUAGGCUCUGUACCAAUCCGUGAUGGGUUUCCCGCGCGAGUUCGAAUCUCGUCAGUAUCA
rnacentral:tRNA from 1 species